rnacentral:misc_RNA from 1 species
UGUGAAUGACACAGCAAUUUGGAGGAUGGAGGUUGAUAAUUCAACACCCAUGGAUGAGAUGACUGCAGCGAGUCCCCGACCUUUGCUGAGAAGAUUCUAUGAUUUACAAGCUGAGCGAGUCCAGACAUAUCUACUAUUUGAUGAGGGUUUCCAAGCGUAUUUGAAGGGAGCCCCCAAUUACAACUUCAACAUGUACCGGCAGCUGGUCCAUGAGAUCACGGAGACCUUCCAGAAGAUCUCUCAGGAUGUGAUCGGGGUGAAGGACAGGUUGGCGAAUGUUUGUAACCUGAACCAGAUUGCAAACAUCCUGGACCAGGUGCAAGAUGAGGAGAGGAACAAGCUGGAACUGACGGCUAGUCUCCAGAUUGCCCAGCAGAACGCUGUGGACCAUCCCACCGAUGAAUGCUACAAGGCAGAAGUAGUGGAGCUGAAACUGAAGUGCAGCGUGAUGUCACAGACAGCAGACAGCAGACAUAUGUACUGGCCACACUGGUGCAGCGUGAUGUGACAGACAGCAGACGUAUGUACUGGCCACACUGGUGCAGCGUGAUGUCACAGACAGCAGACAGCAGACAUAUGUACUGGCCACACUGGUGCAGCGUGAUGUCACAGACAGCAGACGUAUGUACUGGCCACACUGGUGCAGCAUGAUGUCACAGACAGCAGACGUAUGUACUGGCCACACAGGUACAGCGUGAUGUCACAGACAGCAGACGUAUGUACUGGCCACACAGGUACAGCGUGAUGUCACAGACAGCAGACGUAUGUACUGGCCACACAGGUGCAGCGUGAUGUCACAGACAGCAGACGUAUGUACUGGCCACACAGGUGCAGCGUGAUGUCACAGACAGCAGACGUAUGUACUGGCCACACUGGUGCAGCGUGAUGUCACAGACAGCAGACGUAUGUACUGGCCACACUGGUGCAGCGUGAUGUCACAGACAGCAGACGUAUGUACUGGCCACACUGGUGCAGCGUGAUGUCCCAGACAGCAGACGUAUGUACUGGCCACACAGGUGCAGCGUGAUGUCCCAGACAGCAGACGUAUGUACUGGCCACACAGGUGCAGCGUGAUGUCACAGACAGCAGACGUAUGUACUGGCCACACUGGUGCAGCGUGAUGUCACAGACAGCAGACGUAUGUACUGGCCACACUGGUGCAGCGUAAUGUCACAGACAGCAGACGUAUGUACUGGCCACACAGGUGCAGCAUGACGUCACAGACAGCAGACGUAUGUACUGGCCACACUGGUGCAGCGUGAUGUCACAGACAGCAGACGUAUGUACUGGACACACAGGUGCAGCGUGAUGUCCCAGACAGCAGACGUAUGUACUGGACACACAGGUGCAGCGUGAUGUCCCAGACAGCAGACGUAUGUACAGACCACACUGGUGCAGUGUGAUGUCACAGACAGUAGACGUAUGUACUGGCCACACUGGUGCAGUGUGAUGUCACCCAAAGCAGACUAUGUACAGGCCACACUUGUGCAGUAUGAUGUCACUCAAAGCAGACUAUGUACUGGACACACUGGUGCAGCAUGUCACAGACAGCAGACGAAUGUACUGGCUACAGUCACGGACAGCAGGGCAAGUAACCAUUCGUUCUCACUUUCGGUCAUGUGGUUUGUGUAAUAUUCAAAAGUUUUACUUCUCAUUUUUCUUCCAGAGUGAGUGAAAGGAUACAGAAUAUCAAUGAGUACUUAGAGGAACUCAAGUACGAGUCGGAGAAUCUCUACACAGACGAGGAGGAGGAGAGGUAGCGUGGAGAGUCCAAGCCUGGAAGGAAGGAAGGGAUGAAUGAGGGAAGAACUCAUGCAGCGAAGCACUGGAUGCAGUUGUGGCUGACAAUGCUGUUGCACAUGGUGCUAAAGUGUUGAUGUUACAGAACAUUCCCCUGGAGACUUUGUUGUUCAUGGUAUCAAGGCAGACUAACACACUCGGUUCACUGGCACACGUCUGUGUUUGAGUGGAGGAAAACAUGAUCCCAUGUGAGAGCUGUCGUGUUCUGGACUUGUACAUUGUGUUGGUGCUAUAUCAAGGUCCGACUACUGACAUAAUGAUAUUCUGUGGGUCCACAUUCACACAGAUAUUAUUUCAGUACACCAAGAAGGGGAUCAAAACACAUACAUGUGUACCAGCAAAUACAGAAACAGGUUAUGAUUUCAUGCAAGAUCAUCAAGCUGAACAUUUAAUUAGCAAAAUGUCAUAACUGUUUUACAUAUUAGCUAAUACAACAAAUACUACUCUU